rnacentral:rRNA from 1 species
GACGAACGCUGGCGGCGUGCUUAACACAUGCAAGUCGAACGGAAAGGCCCUGCUUUUGUGGGGUGCUCGAGUGGCGAACGGGUGAGUAACACGUGAGUAACCUGCCCUUGACUGUGGGAUAACUUCAGGAAACUGGGGCUAAUACCGGAGAGGAGCUCCUGCUGCACGGGGGGGGUUGGAAAGUUUCGGCGGUGGGGGAUGGACUCGCGGCUUAUCAGCUUGUUGGUGGGGUAGUGGCUUACCAAGGCUUUGACGGGUAGCCGGCCUGAGAGGGUGACCGGCCACAUUGGGACUGCGGUACGGCCCAGACUCCUACGGGAGGCAGCAGUGGGGAAUAUUGCACAAUGGGCGGAAGCCUGAUGCAGCAACGCCGCGUGCGGGAUGAAGGCCUUCGGGUUGUAAACCGCUUUCGCCUGUGACGAAGCGUGAGUGACGGUAAUGGGUAAAGAAGCCCCGGCUAACUACGUG